rnacentral:sRNA from 1 species
UGCGCAGUGCGGUCUGCCGCCUCGGUUUGGUCGCUAAGUAACCUCUCGCUACUUUAAAUUUAAGUAUAAUUUCUUACCUUAGUGAGUAGGCGACCUUGGCGGAACUGGAUCUUCCCAGCUCUCCUGAGAAUGUAACGAUGUUGAGCCUGAUUCGAGAACAAUUUCUUUGAGCUUCAACUGACUGUAACGCUAGUUGGAGCCUGUUCUUGCCAACAGUAGAGCAUCAACGCAGCCUGAUAUAUAGCGACUGCUGUGUAAUUUACAUUGCGUAGAGGAGCCUAAGGAGGCCAGAGGAACCAGAGCCCCUGGAUCCGGAGCUGCAGUCUCCAGUUGUUGGUCUGGUGGGGGCAGAAGCAAAAUGGGAUCACACACGCAAGGAGGACUCGACACCUUCCAAGAGUCCCCAAUUGGAUGUUGGAUGUCCAGAAUCCAAAUGAAAGAUCUAGGGAUGAAGCAGACAGAGCCCUGCUAGUGAUGGCUGGACCCUCUGCCACCAAGCUGGAGCCCAGCCCUUCGAACUGUGGUUUUGGCAUGACUUCUCUGUGUCAGUGGACAUGGGAAAGGACUGGCAGAUGGUGACAGGACUGACCCUUUUGAUAAGAGAAGAAAGAAAGCAGAUGACUCUCUGGUGUAGCCUUGACUGUCCAGUAAGUGGGAUCCGUUGGGUGAAGUGCUGAGACAGAGGAAGGAAUUGCAGACUGCUGCCUGCAACACAUACAUCUGUAGAGAUUCAGAAUAAACCACCCGAAGUGGGCGGCCACCGGGACACACACCUUUAAUUCCAGCACUCUGGAGGCAGAGGCAGGCGGUAAGGCCAACCUGGUCUACACUGCUAGUUCCAGGACAGCCAAAGCUACACAGAGAAACCCUGUCUCAAAAACAGAAUGUAAUAAAACAAAAGUAAACAAAUAAAUAAAAUUUAAAUUAUUUAGAAGCUAGUCAUGGUGGUGAAUGUCUUUAACCCCUUUAACCCUGGCACUGGAGGCAUAAGAACCUCUGUAGUAGAAUCGGAGGUGCGCUGCACCAUGCUUGGUCCUCUGUGUUCCUUUACAAAUACUAUUCAGCAUUCAUGAUUCAGAUACUGUCCUCUGAUAACCCAUCUUUUGUCUGUUAACUUGAAACACACACAUCCUCUCAGAUGAUAACCUUUUUCUCUCCAGCACAUUCAAGAGGACAUUAAAGCUGAGUCGACCUUCUGGAGAAUGGGGUAAUUCUAGACUUGUGGUUGGAGAGAAGAGAAAAGGAGGGAAAUACUGAACAAACGUGUGGGCGUGGUAACAAGCACCUGUAAUGCCAGCACUCAGGAGGCUGAGGCGGGCAGAUGGCGAGCUCCAGGACAGCAGGAGUUAUUUAUGUAACCAGAAGCUGUUCCGCUAAGACCAAGACCCCAUGGACAACCUUAGUGAAGAUGCCAGUGGAGUAACUCAGGACACUGCAGGGUGACACUGGCUACGGUAAUGAUAAAGGUUAAUUAGACCUGGGUUCUAUUCUCAACACGAGCACAGGCAUGCAUGAGUGCAUACAUGCACAUGGUGGCUUGCAACCAUUGGUACCUCCACUUGCAGGUGAUUAGAUGCUUUCUUGUGACCUCCUCAGGCUCCUGCUCACAUGUGCUGCACACACAUAGUAUAUUCAGGCACGCAUGCGCGCGCACACACACACAGAGUUUAAAAAUGGAAAGAUAAUCUAAAGCAAUAAUCAGAGCCUUCCCUGGCAUUGGGCUGACCCCAGUCCCUCUCCUAUGUGUCUCCCUCAUCUCCUCAUGCUGACUCGUGAUUGCUAAUCUCACUCUCUUUCUACUUCAACUUCAGACCUCCCAGGUAGGGACCCUCAUCCACCCAACAGGGCCUUAAUAAGGAUAUGUUGACCAGGGGCCCUACUGUGCUACUCAGGGAAGAGCUGAUGCACAGAACCACUACAGUAAGAGAGAAGUUAGGCUGAGGAGGUAGUGGAACUAGACGGACAGACAGAAAUGUGAGGGGGUUGGACACAUGCAUGGAUGGAUGGAUCUGCCCACCCAUCUAACCAAUCACCCAUCCGUCCACCCACCCAUCCACCCAUCCAUCAUUUUCUGAGUGUAUGUUUUGGCCCAGAGCUUGUGUUGGGCACCCAAUGAGUAGUAUGUCAUUCCUGCCCUUGGGAUGGUCACUCUAGAUGCCAGGUAGCUGUGGGAUGGAUGGUCACCCCGAGAAUACUUGAGGUGGUUUCGGAGCACGAAUGCCAUAUAUGCAAACGUUUUUGGGGCUGGAGAGAUGGGCCAGUGGUUA